AUGAUUAUCACUUACACUUUUUUGCAUAAACCCUGUUCUUCGGCCUGUAUUUUCUUUCUCUGGGUAGACACAUACCACAACACAGGUAUUGCAGGAAUAACUGAAGCAGUUAAGGAGAUUACACUGGAAAGCAAGGACAGUAUAAAACUCCAAGAUUGUUCAGCACUAAGGAAGAAGAGGAAGAGGAAGAAGAAGAAGAUGAAGGAGAAGCUGCAGAUAUGGAAGAAUAUGAAGAGAGUGGAUUGUUGGAAACAGAUGAGGCUACUCUAGACACAAGAAAAAUAGUAGAAGCUUGUAAAGUUAAAACUGAUGCUGGAGGCAAAGAUGCCAUUUUGCAAACCAGAACUUAUGACAUUUACAUCACUUAUAAAUAUUACCAGACACCGCGACUAUGGUUGUUUGGCUAUGAUGAGCAACGGCAGCCUUUAACAGUUGAGCACAUGUGUGAAGACAUCAGUCAAGAUCAUGUGAAGAAAACAGUGACCAUUGAAAAUCACCCUCAUCUCCCACCACCUCCUAUGUGUUCAGUUCACCCGUGCAGGCAUGCUGAGGCGAUGAAGAAAAUCACUGAGACUGUUGCAGAAGGAGGGGGAGAACUUGGAGUUCACAUGUAUCUUCUAAUUUUCUUGAAAUUUGUACAAGCUGUCAUUCCAACAAUAGAAUAUGACUACACAAGGCACUUCACAAUGUAAUGAAGAGAGCGUAGAAUCUAUCCUAAUUAUUGGCUCUGAUUUUUAAAGAAUUAACUCAUAGAUGUGACCAUUGACCAUAUUCACCAAUAUAUACAGUUUCUCUAAUAGAGGGACUUAUAUGUUUAUGCAUUCAAUAAAAAAUGUUCCA